CCUACGGGAGGCAGCAGUGGGGAAUUUUGGACAAUGGGCGCAAGCCUGAUCCAGCCAUGCCGCGUGUGGGAAGAAGGCCUUCGGGUUGUAAACCGCUUUUGUCAGGGAAGAAACGGUCUGAACUAAUACUUUGGACUAAUGACGGUACCUGAAGAAUAAGCACCGGCUAACUACGUGCCAGCAGCCGCGGUAAUACGUAGGGUGCAAGCGUUAAUCGGAAUUACUGGGCGUAAAGCGUGCGCAGGCGGCUUUGCAAGACAGAUGUGAAAUCCCCGGGCUCAACCUGGGAACUGCAUUUGUGACUGCAUGGCUAGAGUACGGUAGAGGGGGAUGGAAUUCCGCGUGUAGCAGUGAAAUGCGUAGAUAUGCGGAGGAACACCGAUGGCGAAGGCAAUCCCCUGGACCUGUACUGACGCUCAUGCACGAAAGCGUGGGGAGCAAACAGGAUUAGAUACCCUGGUAGUCCACGCCCUAAACGAUGUCAACUGGUUGUUGGGAGGGUUUCUUCUCAGUAACGAAGCUAACGCGUGAAGUUGACCGCCUGGGGAGUCGGCCGCAAGGUUGAAACUCAAAUGAAUUGACCGG
rnacentral:rRNA from 1 species